AUUGCUUCUCCACCUUUUGGCUAAGAUCAAGUGUAGUAUCUGUUCUUAUCAGUUUAAUAUCUGAGGGAUACAGAUAGACAUAGAAAAUCUCACUUAGGGGCCGGGAAGGUGGUGCUACAGGUUAGGUGUCUGCCUUGCAAGCAGAUGGACUGCGGUUUCGAUCUCCCCGGUGUCCCAUAUGGUCCCC